GACGAACGCUGGCGGCGUGCUUAACACAUGCAAGUCGAACGGAAAGGCCCUGCUUUUGUGGGGUGCUCGAGUGGCGAACGGGUGAGUAACACGUGAGUAACCUGCCCUUGACUUUGGGAUAACUUCAGGAAACUGGGGCUAAUACCGGAUAGGAGCUCCUGCUGCAUGGUGGGGGUUGGAAAGUUUCGGCGGUUGGGGAUGGACUCGCGGCUUAUCAGCUUGUUGGUGGGGUAGUGGCUUACCAAGGCUUUGACGGGUAGCCGGCCUGAGAGGGUGACCGGCGGCAUGGGGAAAGAGGUAAGGACGCGAGGGGGCCGGGAGGAAGCGGGGCGGAGUAUGGAAGAGGGGGCGGGUGUGUGAUGCCGCGACGCCGUGAGGGGGAUGAGGGGAUGCGGGUAAGGAACCAAUAGCGCAGGAAAAGAAGCGUGAGUGAGGGUAAUGAAUAAGGGAGCAACGGCUAGCUAGGUG
rnacentral:rRNA from 1 species